rnacentral:rRNA from 1 species
UUAGGAAUAUUCGUCAAUGGAGGAAACUCUGAACGAGCAAUGCCGCGUGAGUGAUGAAGGUCUUAUAGAUUGUAAAGCUCUGUUGUAAAGGAAGAAACCUUAUCAUAGGUAAUGAUGAUAAGCUGACGGUACUUUACCAGAAAGCCCCGGCUAACUACGUGCCAGCAGCCGCGGUAAUACGUAGGGGGCGAGCGUUAUCCGGAUUUAUUGGGCGUAAAGCGUGUGUAGGCGGUUUAUUAAGUUUAGAAUCAAAUCCCGAAGCUCAACUUCGGUUCGUUCUAAAAACUGGUAGACUUGAGUGUGGUAGAGGUAAAUGGAAUUUCUAGUGUAGCGGUUAAAUGCGUAGAUAUUAGAAGGAACACCAGUGGCGAAGGCGAUUUACUGGGCCAUUACUGACGCUGAGACACGAAAGCGUGGGGAGCAAAUAGG